GAAAAAUAUUUAGUGUAAAUAAAAUUAUAAAAAAGAUAGAAGUUUAAUUAAAAAAAUUUAAUUAAUUUAAUAAUAUUAUAGAAUUAAGUAUUGUAAAAGAAGUGAAUUAAAUAUAAUAAAGUAGAUUUAAUUUAUUGUACCUUUUGUAUCAGGGAUUAUUAAUAUAAAAUUUUUGAAUCAAAAAUUUCUCGAAAUUAUAAGAGCGAAUAGAAUAUUAUAGUUAAUGUAAAAUAAUUAUUAUGAAUAUUUUAUUAGUGAAUAUAUUUUAGUCAAUUUUAAUGAUAUCUAGUUUUUUUUGAUAAAAUUAAAUUUGAUUUGGUUGUUAAUAUUAUUUAAGUGGAGAUGGAAAUAUUAGAAGAUUAAAUUUAAAAAUUAUGGGAUAAACUAUAGUUUUUUUUAAAAUUAUUUAAAUUAAAAAUUUGUAAAAAUAUUCAUAAUAUUUGAAUUUUUUGAUAAAAAUUUAAUAAUUUAUAAAAUAAUAAAAUUAAUAAAUUUAAAUAUUGAUUUAUUAAAUAAAAAUUUAAUAGUUUAAAAAAAUAUUUAUUAAAAUAAUAAAAAUGAAAUGAUAAUGAUAAUAUUAGUAAAAUAAUAAAAUUUUAAAUUAAAUUUAAGAUAAAAAUUAAUUUUAAUAAUUAGGCAAAAAAAAUAAAUUCACCUGUUUAAUAAAAACAUGGUUUUUUGAAUAUAAUUUAAAAUUAUUUCUGCCCACUGAAGAUAGAUUUAAAUGGCUGCAGUAUUUUAACUGUACAAAGGUAGCAUAAUAAAUAGUUUUUUAAAUGGAAACUGGAAUGAAUGAAGUGAUGAAAUUUAUACUGUUUUAAAUUAAAUUUAUUAAAUUUAGUAAUUAAGUAAGAAUACUUAAAUAGGAAUAUGGGACGAGAAGACCCUAUAGAAUUUUAUAUAAAUUUGUUAAGAUAGUUAGUAAAAAAUUUUAUUGAAUUUAUAUUUUAUUGGGAGGAUUGUUAAAUUAAUAAAACUUUAAUAGUGGUAGGUAUAAUCAUUAAUUUAUGAGUAUGUAAAGAAUGGUUUUUAGAUUUAAUUAGAAUUAAUUACCUUAGGGAUAACAGCAUAAUAUCUUUAGAGAGAUCUUAUUAAUAGAGAUGAUUGUGACCUCGAUGUUGAAUUAAGAUAAAAAUUAAAUGAAGGAGUUUAAUAUUUAAGUCUGUUCGACUUUUAAAAUCUUACAUGAUUUGAGUUUAGAUCGGCGUGAGCCAGAUCGGUUUCUAUCUAUAUUUAUAUUAAAAUUAUUUGUACGAAAGGACUUUAAUUUUUAAUUUUAUUAAAAAUAUAAGAAUAUUACUUUGGCAGAUUAGUGCAUUAAAUUUAGAAUUUAAUAUAAAAUAUAAAAUAUUUAUAUAA
rnacentral:rRNA from 1 species